rnacentral:misc_RNA from 1 species
GUGAAUCAUCGAAUUUUUGAACGCAAAUUGCGCUCUCUGGUAUUCCGGGAAGUAUGCCUGUUUGAGGGUCAGUAUUAAUAAAAAACCGGUUUGGUUGCAACUUGUGACGUUUCCGGAGUUUGGGUUUAUCUUAACUUUUCUGGUUAAGGGGCUUAAAAUUGACAUUUUUUGCGCAUAUUUAGACGUAUAUAAUUAUUUUCUUUUUCGUCUACUAUUAAUGCGAA